rnacentral:lncRNA from 1 species
UAGAAGAUAAGAUUUCCCCAACUUGAUAGAGGAUAAGAUUUCCCCAAUUAUAUGAGGAAAUCUCUCUAUUCUGUUUAUUCUGUUGAGGGAAAUCCUUCCUCCUAAUCUGUAUAAAUAGGAGAGGGAACAUAUUAAUAGAUUCAAGCUAAAGCUAUUUCAUUUCUACAAUAAAGCUUCUUCAAUUAUUGUUCUUAUCUUCUAUUAUUUCUAUCAUGGUAUCAGAGCAGUGAGAAAAGCGAAGUUUCGCCCUUGUCUUCGGAUAGCGACCAACGUUGCAGCCACAUUCCUGAGAGGCUUCACGGCCAAUCCUCAUCUUCCUCACCGUGAUAGUCUUCGCUGAUCUGCCAACAAUCGGCAGGCUUAAGGAGAACGAAGGGCGGAUGUAAUGAGAACAAAGGGAACGCCUGUGCCCUCACAGCAACAGCAAUCGCAACAGCAACAGCGAUCUGCUCUUGCCCUACUCACGAAGCCUCUUACUUUAAACCAUUCUUUGCAUCGAUCCAAGAUUGGUAUCCUUGUUAGGAGCACCAUCUUGCGGGGGCAUGAUAGAAGAUAAGAUUUCCCCAACUUGAUAGAGGAUAAGAUUUCCCCAAUUAUAUGAGGAAAUCUCUCUAUUCUGUUUAUUCUGUUGAGGGAAAUCCUUCCUCCUAAUCUGUAUAAAUAGGAGAGGGAACAUGUUAAUAGAUUCAAGCUAAAGCUAUUUCAUUUCUACAAAAA